rnacentral:lncRNA from 1 species
AUGACUUUAUUUUCUCCCUGGGGUAAGGAGACAGGCUCUGGUCAGAUACGGUGGGUACCUGGCCCUCCCUGGCCCAGUGCAUCUCAGCAUCAGCAUCAGCAUCAGCCUUUGCCCCUGCACAUUUGCCCAGGGACCACGGUCCUUCCUCUGCUUCCAGGUGCCUCCAGCCAUGUAAGGUUUCAUCUCUAUCUCCCGUUUCUUAGCAACAAGCCUCCCUUUAGGACUGUCCCCCUCUCUACUACGUACUCUGCCCCUUUGGGGCUGGGGAGGCCCUAGGGCUGGGUCCCUGGGGUUCUUUGAGGCCUUCCUGGUUCACUGAGAUGUCUCUUGAGCCUGGAUGCACUCAACACAGGUGCUGCUCUAAAUGCCCCUUUAUUCAUGUCUUUUUCUUUUAUUAAAAUGUUAGUUUGUUAAUUCAUAUCUUUAAUCUUUUUUAAGCUUAUUCAUUUAAAAUGUCUUUACUGUCCUUCUAGCCUUUGGUGUUGCUUGUUCUUCUGCAACCAAGUUUCUAAACAUAGUGGUUUGUAUUCUCAAGAGUUUUGUAAAAAAAUUUUAUUGUGAAAAGGUCUUGAAAAAUUCCCACUCCCCACCCUGUACAUCACACUUGCUCCCAACCACAAACUUUUCAGCUUGGUGUUAUAGAACUGUGCAGAUCAUGUCGGUUUGGGCUUCUUACCAACACAUGGGCAAAUCUGGGUUUUUGAUUUCUCAUGGAGGACUUUUUGAGCGCCAACCUAUAGAAAGAGGGAAGCUUCCUUGCUCUUUCUUGGACCAGGGGGUUUUCCUGUCCAUAAUGUGGGUACUGGUUCAGGGCUCUGAGCCUAUGCACCUGCAUGCCUGCCGUGCUGUGGGAUGAGAUGGACCUGCCUCCUAAGUACUGAGCUGCCAGCCAAGUUGCAAAGUUCCUUCUACAUGUUUAUUAGAACUGGUCUCACAAGAUACAAGAGAAAUGAGUGGCAACUAGGUAAUUUACGGUUUAUUCAUUUGAUAAAUAUUUAUUGAAGGGCUGAGAUGUGCUAUGCACUUCAUUAGACAUGGAGGUUUCAAUGAUGAGCCCAGAUCCAUAGGACUUCCAGCCUUGAAGACAAACAGUGCUGAAACCAUCAUAUCAAUGACCUGCUGUUAUAAUCUGAGACAGCCUCCCAAAGAAAGAGACACAGGUACCUUAGGGCUUAUAAGAAAGGAAAUGACAUGAGUUGACAUCUAAAAAAUAGGUAAAAGUUAACUAGCUGAAAGAGAGAUAUGUUCUGUGAGUGGGAAUCCUCUGCCUAAAUUAAGACUGUAACUCCUAGACUAGUGGUUUUCCAUUUUGACUGUGUAAUACUAUCACCUGUGAAGCUUAACAUAAAAGUGCCUGGGCUCUGUCCCCAGAGAUUCCUAGUUAAUUGGUCUGGGGUGAGCCCAGGCAACUGUAUUUUUAAGAGCUCAGCUAGUGAUUCUGUUGUGUAUUCAGAGUUGUAAAUACUGGAUGAUCGAUGCCAGCAGCACCUGGGAAAUUGUUAAACAUACAGAUUCUCACAUCCAUCCCAGAUCUGCUGAAUGAGAAACUCUGGGAAUGGGGCCCAGAACAAAAUGCUGGAGUUUUCCUUCCCAGCAGCCUCCCUGCAGCAUAUGUUUAAAAAUAAAGACUUCACUGAUCUUUCAAACAAUGUAGGAAGGCCAACAAAGCUGUGCUCUCUUCCUGUGAUAACUAUUUUAGUGCUUUCUUUUUAAUUUCUGAAUACACUCAAAAUGUUUUCUGUUCACAUUCUGGUUGCUGAGACAU